GCAGGGUUGAAUUUUAGUAGCUUCUAACCUAAAAUGUCAAUAAUAUGAUUUACAGGUUUCACGCUACACCGAAUUUGAUUGUGUUAUUUUUUACAGCGUAAUCAUACAGUAUUUAGUAGUACUGCAGAGGUUAAAGGUUAAAAUUGUGUACAAAACAAGUAGUGAUUGGUCGUUUAGGGUUCAGCGUAGUAAUUUUUGCUAGUGUAGCGGGAGUUUAAUGGAUCAGCUGACUGUACGAUUGAUAGUGAAAGGGGCAGGACUGUUUUCUGUAGGGAACCCUGUUGUUCCAUCCUGGGGCCUUAGACAAUAUUAGAGAUGUUGUGCAUUAUUUAGAAGUCUUACUAACCAGCACAGUACCGCCACGAGUGAGUGAGCCAGUGUGGUAAAGUGGAGACAUUCAUCUCUUGGAUGAAGGUCGAGAUCUCAUGUUUACGAGAUUGUACGUUUACCAGUUUACUGGAUUACACGUUUAAGGAGUUACUGGUUCACUAAUCUACAUUAUCAUUUAGAGACUGAUGAAAUGAUGUAAAGAAGUAUCUAAUUAAAUAAAGUAACUUUAAACUUGUAACAGUGUUAUGGUUACAAAUUGGCGCCCAACGUAAAAAAAAAACUCACAAUUGAAAAUUCUACCUGGUGGCGGUUACUUCUGGUAGGACAAGAUGGUACCUUAGAAACAUUGAAUGCUGCACAGUACAGUCAAUACGGUUUUACUUUUUACCGGAAAAAUUUUUAAACAGAAUUUUAAAAGAACAUUGAGACAAUAAGUUGCUGGAGGGUAUACAAAGUUGAAUAAUUUACAAGUAUAAUGGGUGCUGUGAUUGAAAAGCAAUAAAGACUAUAAGAUAAUUUAGAAUGGGUGCUGUGAUAGAAUCACUAUAAAGUCAACAGUUCUUGUGAUAGAAACGCUAUAAAGUCAACAGUUCUUGUGAUAGAAACGCUAAAAAGUCAACAGUUUUUGUGAAAGAAACACUCCAGUAAGAUAAUAACUGUGAUCACAAAACUGUACUGUGAUAGAAACACAUAAGUAGCUGUGAUAGAACAUAUUUAGGAGAAAACAGUAAAUAGUAUGCUAUAAUCUAUAGACAACUUGGUACAAUGAUAGCAGACUGUUUAAAUACACAUAUUUGAAAGAUAACAGUAACAGGCAACUAUUCAAUAGAACAUUGCAAAUACCGUAUUUCCAGUAACUCCAGGGAGAUAAUCAAGGACCUUAUCUUCGAUGCACGAAGAAUCCAGACGAAUACACUUCCGGAACAUUCCAGGAUGACGAAAUCUUUCGAACAGUGAACAUAACAAGAUUCUACAGUGUGCACUUACAAACGAUUAACAGAUUAAAACUCUAGUAAACAUUUGGUCAAGACAUUUUUUAAGGUUUCUGUAUUGGUACAUAGUGUUCAAGUCCAGUGCUGUUCAACAAGUUGGUCUUACUAACCAGCACAGUACCGCCACGAGUGAGUGAGCCAGUGUGGUAAAGUGGAGACAUUCAUCUCUUGGAUGAAGGUCGAGAUCUCAUGUGUACGAGAUUGUACGUUUACCAGUUUACUGGAUUACACGUUUAAGGAGUUACUGGUUCACUAAUCUACAUUAUCAUUUAGAGACUGAUGAAAUGAUGUAAAGAAGUAUCUAAUUAAAUACAGUAACUUU